rnacentral:pre_miRNA from 1 species
CAUGUACUCCCUCCGUCCCAAAAUUUUUGUCUUAGAUUUAUCUAAAUACGGAUGUAUCAAGUCACGUUUUAGUAUUAGAUACAUCCAUAUCUAGAAAAAUCUAAGACAAGAAUUUUGGGACGGAGGGAGUACUCA